GCUAGUGUAGCUUAACUAAAAGCAUAGCACUGAAGAUGCUAAGAUAAAAACUAAUCUUUUUCACAGGCA
rnacentral:tRNA from 1 species